rnacentral:rRNA from 1 species
GACGAAGGAUGCAAGCGUUAUCCGGAUUUAUUGGGUUUAAAGGGAGCGUAGGUGGCUUUGUAAGUCAGUGGUGAAAUCUUCUCGCUUAACGAGAAAACUGCCAUUGAUACUGCAGAGCUUGAGUACAGAUGCCGUUGGCGGAAUAUGACAUGUAGUGGUGAAAUACAUAGAGAUGUCAUAGAACACCGAUUGCGAAGGCAGCUAACGAAACUGUAACUGACACUGAGGCUCGAAAGUGCGGGGAUCAAACAGG